rnacentral:lncRNA from 13 species
UGAAUUUCCUACUCUUCUGGGAGCUGAAGCAGAAGACUGCUCUCUCAUGGAGGCCCCGAGGGCAUGAGUCCUAUGGAUUUGAUUCUCCCUUGCUCUCCCAUAUGCCUCUUUCCCAGGACACUUGAAACUCAUCACUUUCACCACCACUGUGUCCACCAAAACCUUUGUAUCAUCUAUAUCUUUUUUUUUUGAGACGGAGUUUCGCUCGUUACCCAGGCUGGAGUGCAGUGGCGCAAUCUCGGCUCAUCGCAACCUCCGCCUCCUGGGUUCAGGCAAUUCUCCUGCCUCAGCCUCCUGAGUAGCUGGGAUUACAGGCAUGUGCCACCAUGCCCAGCUAAUUUUUUGCAUUUUCAGUGGAGACGGGGUUUCACCAUGUUGACCAGGUUGGUCUCGAUCUCUCGUGAUCCACCCGCCUCGGCCUCCCAAAGUGCUGGGGUUACAGGCUUGAGCCACCGUGCCUGGCCUCAUCUAUAUCUUAAAGGGGCUGCAGCCUGACUUCCCAGAGGAGUUUGAGUCAACUUGUCUCACCAGUGUGCAAGCCUGAGGCAUGAGUCACUGUUCAGGUCAUACUGAUGUUCGCUGUUGCCCCAGUGAUAGGUUCCUGAGACAUCACAAUGGAGAAUCUCCUGUGGCAGUGUGUCAGGAAUGGGGCUCAGGCCCCUCCCUGCCAUUAUGUCCAUAGGAUAGUCUCUAGAGGCCAGGAUUCGCUGAAGUGAGACGAGGAGGAAGGGUCUUCAGGUGGAGGGAACUCCAAGAAAGCAGCACGGAAUCCCUGUCUCAGGCCUGCACUAACCGGGUACAGGGCCUCCACAAGCGAGCGGUCUUCUGUUUUAGCUGCCAGAAGAGGAGACUCAGGACUCCCCAUGGGCCCUCCAGACUAUGAAUCCCAUUUUACAUCCAAUCUGGGAGCCAAGAUUCUGGAUGGCCCUCAAGAAUGAGAGAAGACGAGCAGGCUUCACGAACGCCAGAUGGAACCACUGGAGAAAGAGUGAUGACUGGACAGGCAGUGGGUUUGUGGAGGCCUGGAGAAAAGGCAUGGAUGAGACAGUCAGGUUCAAACCCAUAGGACUCAUGUCCUCAGGGCCUCCACAAGCUAUCAGUCUUCUGCUUCAACUCCUCAUGGAAGAGGCGAUUAAAGGUGCCAAAUGGGCUUUCCAGAUUCCACCUCGGAUCAUAUGUUGGACCCCACCUAGGCCUGAGACUGGAAUUCCAAGCUGCUUCCCGGGCUCUUUCUCUGCCCGAGGUUUCUUCUUCUUGGCCCACCUUAGGCAAAUCCUGGCCUCCGGAGACAACAGAACUGCAGAUCCAGGAGCUGCCUGGGAGAGGUCUGACCAGCAACCCUAA